UACGUAGGGUGCAAGCGUUGUCCGGAAUUAUUGGGCGUAAAGAGCUCGUCGGCGGUCUGUCGCGUCGGCUGUGAAAACCCGGAGCUCAACUCCGGGCCUGCAGUCGAUACGGGCAGACUGGAGUUCGGCAGGGGAGACUGGAAUUCCUGGUGUAGCGGUGAAAUGCGCAGAUAUCAGGAGGAACACCGGUGGCGAAGGCGGGUCUCUGGGCCGAUACUGACGCUGAGGAGCGAAAGCGUGGGGAGCGAACAGG
rnacentral:rRNA from 1 species